UUCUCUGUCAGAGAGUCAAUGGUCGACCCUAGCUAACCCAACAGCUGAGUUGUUUACCCACACCGGCCCAAUUGCCGACCAAGAAAUCCAAGUCUACACCAACCAAGAAACCAAGUCAGUGAAGGAAGAAGAUGCAACAACCAAGUCCAGUAAGAAGAAGAAAGAGAUGAAACAAGCAAGUCUAAUGAAAGAAGAAGAAAUGGAGAAUAUGGUAAGUCGGUUAUGGGACAAUUGGAGUUUGGGUAAAUUUAGAUUUGGGGUUUAUCUUAAGUCGUUCAACUAGAUAAUAAAGCGGGAAAAUUGACGAUUCGAAAUAACUAGGCAACAAUCAGGUUCUCAAGUCGGGCAUCUUAGGUGCAACAACCAAGUCGAGCCCUCGCCUUGUAGCUUCAACAGCGACCGGGUGACUAAUCACCGACUAGGCAUCAAUUAAGCGACGACUUAAUAACUAUGAUCGACAUUAGACAACUCUAAAGUGAUUCAGUUAUCUGUUUCAAAAUGAAAAUGCAGUAGUAAUAAUAUUUCAGAUCAAUAUCCUCGUAUAGACAUAUUCUUUAUAGAUAUAUUCAGGAUUUUGUUUAAUUCAACACCUAUUAUCAGGUUAGAUAUGCAAAUCCAAUGGUGAACCAUACCUCUGAAAGGUGAAAACAUGUUACAUUAACCACUGAAGUAUAAAAUCUGCAAUCUUUCAUUUGAUGAAUUUGAAUCCAAGGAUACUUACAAGAAGACCUGCAUUGAUUAAAAGAGAUAUGUGUUCAUCUUUCACUUUUCCUCCCAACGAUAGAAGAGAACACUACAAGGCAGCCAUGAGUAGAAAAAAAUGUGAAAAUAAGUUGAUAUCUCAUUGAAAUAGCUACUACUACCAUGCACACAAAAAGAAUGCAAUAUAUAUAUAUAUAUAUAUAUAAGGUGAGGAAUACUACCAAAAGAUGGAGGACAAGAAGUCCACAAACCACCAAAAAAUAGAAAAUAAAAGGAAUCAAAUAAGAACAUAUUUCCAAUCUCACGAAAGAUCGGCAAUAGUUCUUGAAGUCGAAAGGCGCACCUAGCACAAAGGUCACCGCGGAGCAAAGGCACAAGGUGAGGUGCACACUCAUCAAAAUAAGGCGCACAACCUCAAAAAAUACAAAUAUAUAUAGUCAUAUUUUUAACAAAUAAUGUAUCUUAUAACAUAAAUUGACAAUAUAUGGUUAUGGCAUAAAUACACAUUACAACAGAAGAAUUAAGAAAAAUAUGUGAAGAAAAAGAGGAAAGGGAGGAAUAGAAAUAGGAUGAAAGAAAAAAAUAAAAAGAAAAGUGGGAGAAACAAAAAAAAGGGGAAAUAAAUGUGGAUGAAGAAAAAUGUAGACAUGUACAAUAUAAUAUCGCACAUACCCAAACACAUAUAUAUGGAAUACAUGCGCUAAUUACAUACAAAUACCUAGUAUAGUCGAGUCUUAAUCUAAAUUGAAAAUGACGGAAGUUCAACAAGGGCACGACACAAGUAAUAUUUUAUUACUCACAAGCUCUUGAUGUGCAAUACUAGGAUCCACCUUGGAAUGGAUAACAUGAAACUUAAACCACUCAAAAACCGCAAGAUUAUCUUGCUUCUUUGGUUCGAUCCUUUUAACGACACGUUCAAUCUAUGACCAAAUUUUGGAUAGAAGAAACAAUGUUAAUAAAUUGAACAAAUUUUGGAUAGAAGAAACAAUGUUAAUUGUCGCUACAUUUGGGAAGAAAAUGUCACCAUUAAUUAAGCUUCAUCAUGAUAAAAUAUGAAAGUCAGUCAAAACUAUAAAAUGUAUAAAAGUAAAUUGAUAAGUAACAAUAAAAUAUAUAAAUAACCCAAAUAGAUAAGUAGUUGCUGAAACUAUACUCAGUGCCAUGCACUAGAAAACACUGAAAAUGCACAUGCACAUAUUUGUAAACUUGAUAAACGCACUCCCAAUAAAAUUCUCAAGGGAAAAAAGGUCUUCCUCUUAAUUGAAAUAAAUUAUUAAACGAAAGGAUUCUCUAAGACAAUGAGAGUAAAAACUAACCUCAUUCAAAUAGUCAUCUACAAACAUUAUGGCAUGAUCAUCUUGUCCAGUAUUUAAUUUGAAGAUGCGCAGAACUCUCUCCCUCCUCAAAGACUGCAAACAAAUGGAAGACACUCUUGUAAAUCCAUAUGAAUAAAUAAGGAAAAGGAAAGUGAGGAAACCCUAAAAACGAACUACAAUCACAACAAUUGAAAACAAAUAUGGCAGGGAGAAAAGGAUAGAAUGGUCAGUGUGGGUCAACUCUGUCACAUAAGAAACUGAGAAGACUCUGUGCAUACUUCAACCCUAUUCCAGUAUUUUUCUCUUAAAAUAUCAUAUCUAGUGGUAAACCAUGACGACUAUAUAUGAAAAAUAAGAAGGGAAAAUUUCCUUAAGGCUUCAAAGAACUAAUGAUUUUCAGAAAUACAUGAACAACUCUACCAAUAUCAAAAUGAUUUUCAUCAAAUAUUAUGACUUCAAUAAAAAUUUCAACAAAAGCAACAGUUGUUUCCUGAUAAUAUGCAUACAUGUAUUCAUGAACAAGUCUAACAAGUAACAAUCUUACACUACCUCAAGACCUGCUUACUAGUAAUGCUCCUACUCCAGUGCGUUAAAAAAUGAGUACAUAACAUCAAUGUCAAGAGAUCAGAC
rnacentral:lncRNA from 1 species